rnacentral:RNase_P_RNA from 1 species
CAGGCAAUCGCGUCAUAAAAUGAUGAGGAAAGUCCGAGCAUCAAGAGAACUGGGUGCCGAUUAACGGUCGGCGGAGGCGACUCUAGGAAUAGUGCAACAGAAAUAAACCGCCCAGCAAGCCUGGGUAAGGAUGGAAAGGCGGUGUAAGAGACCACCGCUCAAUCGGAGACGAUUGAGGCUCUGUAAACUCCACCUGAUGCAAGGUCAAAGGGACAAACGUGCUUGUUCUCUCACGUCCCGAACGAACCGCUUGAGCAUAUUGGCAACAAUAUGUCGAGAUAGAUGAUUGCCAAAUACAGAACUCGGCUUACAGCAUGACU